UUAAUGUUGUGUCCAGACACCAGUCCUCCUGAGUCCUCCUCCUCCUCCCCUGAUGUAGACUGUGGUCUGUGUUGGAUGUUGCUGUUCAGUCUGUGUCCUGUGUCUGCUCUCCUCUCCUUCGCCUGUGUCUACUCCUUCUGCAGAACAACAGCUCCAACUGAGACUCAGGUUCCUCUGAACAGGACGACCACCAGGGGAAGUGACAGCAGAGAGCAGACUACAGUCAGAUACCUACACAUCCAUCAAUACCAGCAGAGUGUGUGAACUAUACAAUCCAUCAAUACCAUCAGAGUGAGACAUAUAUCAGCAAUCAAUACCACCAGAGAGUACGACUUAUACCAGCCGUCAAUACCAGCCAUCAAUACCAGCAGAGUGUGAGACCUAUACCAGCCAUCAAUACCAGCAGAGUGUGAGACCUAUACCAUCCAUCAAUACCAGCAGAGUGAGACCUAUACCAUCCAUCAAUAACAGCAGAGUGAGACCUAUACCAGCCAUCAAUUCCAGCAGAGUGAGACCUAUACCAGCAAUCAAUACCACCAGAGAGUACGACUUAUACCAGCCAUCAAUACCAGCCAUCAAUACCAGCAGAGUGUGAGACCUAUACCAGCCAUCAAUACCAGCAGAGUGUGAGACCUAUACCAGUCAUGAAUACCAGCAGAGUGAGACCUAUACCAGCCAUCAUUAUCAGCAGACUGUGAGACUUAUAUCAGCCAUCAAUACCAGCAGUGAGACCUAUACCAGCCAUUAAUACCAGCAGAGUGAGACCUAUUCCAGCCAUCAAUACCAUCAGAGUGAGACCUAUACCAUCCAUCAAUACCAGCAGAGUGAGACCUAUACCAGCCAUCAAUACCAUCAGAGUGAGACCUGUACCAUCCAUCAUUACUAUCAGAGUGAGACCUAUACCAUCCAUCAAUACCAUCAGAGUGAGACCUAUACCAGCCAUCAAUACCAUCAGAGUGAGACCUGUACCAGCCAUCAAUACCAUCAGAGUGAGACCUAUACCAUCCAUCAAUACCAUCAGAGUGAGACCUAUACCAGCCAUCAAUACCAUCAGAGUGAGACCUAUACCAGCCAUCAAUACCAUCAGAGUGAGGCCUAUACCAUCCAUCAAUACCAUCAGAGUGAGAGACCUAUACCAUCCAUCAAUACCAGCAGAGUGAGACCUAUACCAGCCAUCAAUACCAUCCGAGUUCGACCUAUACCAUCCAUCAAUACCAGCAGAGAGAGACCUAUACCAUCCAUCAAUACCAUCAGAGUGAGACCUAUACCAGCCAUCAAUACCAUCAGAAUGAGACCUAUACCACCCAUCAAUACCAUCAUAGUGAGACCUAUACCAUCCAUCAAUACCAUCAGAGUGAGACCUAUACCAUCCAUCAAUACCAUCAGAGUGAGACCUAUACCAGCCAUCAAUACCAUCAGAGUGAGACCUAUACCAGCCAUCAAUACCAGCAGAGUGAGACCUAUACCAGCCAUCAAUAUCAGCAGAGUGAGACCU